rnacentral:rRNA from 1 species
UGCGAGUCUUUGCAGUAAUGCAAGGCAUACGGCUCAGUAACACGUAGUCAACUUACCCUAUGGACGAGGAUAAUCUCGGGAAACUGAGCAUAAUACUCGAUAGAUCAUAAUGCCUGGAAUGGUUUAUGGUUGAAAUGAUUCGUCGCCAUAGGAUGGGACUGCGGCCUAUCAGCUUGUUGGUGAGGUAAUGGCCCACCAAGGCGAUUACAGGUACGGGCUCUGAGAGGAGAAGCCCGGAGAUGGGUACUGAGACAAGGACCCAGGCCCUAUGGGGCGCAGCAGGCGAGAAAACUUUGCAAUGUGCGAAAGCACGACAAGGUUAAUCCGAGUGAUUUCUGCUAAAGAAAUCUUUUGCAAGUCAUAAAACCACUAGUGAAUAAGGGGUGGGCAAGUUCUGGUGUCAGCCGCCGCGGUAAAACCAGCACCUCAAGUGGUCAGGAGGAUUAUUGGGCCUAAAGCAUCCGUAGCCGGCUCUGUAAGUUUUCGGUUAAAUCCAUGUGCUCAACGCAUGGGCUGCCGAAAAUACUGCAUAGCUAGGGAGUGGGAGAGGUAGACGGUACUCGGUAGGAAGGGGUAAAAUCCUUUGAUCUAUCGAUGACCACCUGUGGCGAAGGCGGUCUACCAGAACACGUUCGACGGUGAGGGAUGAAAGCUGGGGGAGCAAACCGGAUUAGAUACCCGGGUAGUCCCAGCUGUAAACGAUGCAGAUUC